GGUUGUCAGCAGCAUUCCCGGAAGAAGGAAGAGAUUUCGCACAGAGGAGGAAAACUCUGUUGACAGCAGGGAAUAUCAACCUUUACCACAUUCCCUGUCUUAUUAAACCCCCCCCCACCCCGCCAGCGCUGUUGCAUUCAGGGUUGUGGACCUCGCAGCCAGCUCUCAGGGUAUGGAACAUGGCAGCGACUGAAACGCAGCUUAUGUUAAGCGUCGGAUUAAUCGAGAAAGAUGUGAAUGGAGACACUCUGUGGGUGUGGUGCUAUCCCUCCGUGAGCUCCGACCUGAGGAAAGUCCUGCUCAGCAAGUGCUGUCUGACGCAGGACGGCCGGGACUUCCACACCUUUGUGUUCGGUCAGUUCUGUCGUACCUGGUACUACAUCACCACGGUGGAGGUGCAGGAGCCCACAGCGCUGAACAAGGUCACUCAUUUUUCAAUAGUUGUUACAGCUAAAGACUUCAACCCGGAGAAGUACGCUGCACUCAGUAGGAUCCUCUGCAGGAUGUACAUCAAACACGGCAGUCCGGUGAAGAUGAUGGAGGCGUAUGUGACCGUCCUCACCAAAGGAAUCUGCCAGAGUGAUGAAAACGGCUCGUUUCUAAUUAAGGACUAUGACGUCCGGAAGGCGUACCUGGCCGGUUCGGUCAAAGAUGUGGUGUCCCAGUUCGGUAUGGAGACCAUCAUCCUGUAUACCGCUCUCAUGCUGAAGAAGAGGAUCGUUGUCCAUCACCCUCGGAUUGAAGCGUUGUUGGAGUUUACAAGAGUCCUGCCCACUCUGACAUGGCACAGGAAAGACUGGUCCAUCCUGCACCCGUAUGUGCACCUGACUGACACCGAGCUAGAGGAUCUGAAGAAAUGCCCUGGAUACAUAGCAGGCUUCGUGGAUCCAGAAGUGAGCAACAGAUCGGACUUGUUUGAUGUAUACGUGAACCUCCCAGACAGCGUUAUCACGGUGUCCCAGAGUGCCAAAGAGGCCCUGGCUAUGGGGAAGCUACACAAGGAAGUCGGCCACCUCAUUGUGCAGUCUGCGGAGGAUGCCGAGAGGUCGGACAGCCAGGUCAUUAAGGAUAUUUCUGUGAAGACUAAAGAGAUCCUUGCCAACUUGGUGGCCCUGGCGGACGAGUGCGAAGACUCUAAAAUCACAUUGGAAGGUUUAAAGCAGCAUCAUUUCCCUCCGGCGACAGAGAACUUCCUCUUUCACUUGGCGGCUGCCGAGCAGCUCUUGCGGAUAUAAACCUGUGUUCAGACGCUGCGCUGCAGGAUGUCAACAGCUGUUUACUGUUGGUGUAUAUUUUGGGAUGAUUACUGUUUUCUGAAAGGCUCGUGCACGCUCUCACGGUUCUCCUGAGAGUGUGCACGAGCCGCUUUCUCACAGGAACCUUCACGUGAGGGAUUUGUGACUGUGUCUCAAAAACAGGGAUAAAGGGACACUGCCUCUUUGAUUUUUCACCCAUUGGAGCCUUCACCUCCUGCUGUAUGUGAGUGUGAUUGUGAAUCCGUGAGUGUGCGUGUCUAUCCAUGGAUGACUGAAUAAACCUUACAGAAAGCAUCGAUCAUACUUUAUCAUCAUACUCUUUAUUUUAAAGAACAGCCACCACAAACUGGCUUCCGUACAAGGACUUCGGACACUCUGGGCUGUAGGUAAAGAGGGACUCUGACCUCAACCUCCCCGUCAAACAAGGGCAGAGAUGUGAGGGCCUGACGCCUGAGGACUGAGGAUCGCUCACAGCUGUGAUCCAAAGAACCAGGUGGCAUAGACUCUGUCUUUCUGGUAAGUGCAUUCAGGGGGGCUCAGGGUCAUUGAUUCUCGCCACUUAGAGAGUGAGCUGUGACAGAUGUGUCAGCAAGGGCAGGCAGAGACUGCUGCAGAAUCACCAGAGCUUCAGGUUAAAGAGAUAUAGCCAGGAGACACUUGAGUCUGGGGCUCGUCUGAUGCAUUAAGUUGUGUGCAUGUGUGCGAAAGAAUUGUGUGAAAAAAGGAGUGAAUGAUGAAAGCAAAUUUCGAAAGAUUAAAGGGAUCUUCAUUUUAAUCUGUUAAUCAGUCUUUUCCGUAUGCAGUGAGCUUUAAGGUCCUUGUAAACAUACAAACUAUAAAUUUAAAAUAUUCUGAAACCAACAUCACUUCUGAGAGAACAACAAAGGAACAAUUCUGUGUUAGAGUGACUCUCAAACAACUUUAAAGGGACGCUGCCGCUUACUCCUACUGCUGUAUCUGAGUGAAUAAACGUUACAGAAAGACAAGAUCAUCCUUUGUAUGAUUUAUUUAAUAUAUAGCCACCACAAUAUUUCACAUUAAAACUGUGAGAAAAAGCUGCAUUUCAUCUUUGAGUCUGUUACAGGCUUUGUACAUUUGGACAUUUAUCAUGAGGCUUUACAGUGACGACAUCUCUAUCCGCUGUAGAACACAGCUCCUCAGAGUCCUCUAUGGUAGUAUAACUGUCCGUCGUACGCUGCUGCCUGCAGCUCGUCCUCUACGUCCUCCCUCCUUAUCUGUAAAAACAAGAUCAAUGUCAGCCGAGUUCAUCACAAGGAAAACAUCACAGCACGGGAGGACCAUGAAUCUUACCGUUCCCAGUUGUGGAAAGAGACUGAAUGAGACGGGGAUCGUUAAGAACAGAACCAAUGCACCACUCAGAGGACCGACCAGCGGAGAGUUCCUCAACGCAAAUCUGGUUCUGUAAAGGAAACUCUGUGAGGUGAAGUCUCAACAGGUGUGAUCUUGUGCCAGGUAAACAACUGAAUGUGAAACUGACCUCUUUAAGAGCGAAGACAGGACAAAAGGAACGGCACCGGUCGUACCAAACAGUGCCGCUCUUGACAACGCCGUCUCCCUCACAGCCUGAACGAAAAUAAAAACCAUUUAACGCCACGAGGGUUCAAUCAGACUUAUUUUUGCUUUUUAAAGACACAAACCUUUUCUCCUGCUGCUUCAGAGAGGCCGACGGGAUUCCCGCUGGAAUCAAACACUUGGAUCCCAGUUUCUGUCUCGUCACUUCUGACAAAGCUCACGUUGAUGUAGGCGAGAGCAGCUGGAGAGAGUUACACAACAAUGUGUAAUGAAGAUGUACCACUUUGUGUCUACCUUCAUUAAUAAUCACACUGGGUCCCAACCUUUUUCCUUAAAGGACCUCUUUUCUAUCGUUGAGUAAACUGACUAAGUGACAUAUUUUGUGGAUAUUUCAUAUUAUAUUCAAUACAUAACAGUAACAAUAGAGAAUGACUGAUCUGAUCUGUAGAAUAAAACUGUUUCUUCUGAUAAAA